UGGGGAAUAUUGGACAAUGGGGGCAACCCUGAUCCAGCAAUGCCGCGUGUGUGAAGAAGGUCUUCGGAUUGUAAAGCACUUUCGACGGGGACGAUGAUGACGGUACCCGUAGAAGAAGCCCCGGCUAACUUCGUGCCAGCAGCCGCGGUAAUACGAAGGGGGCUAGCGUUGCUCGGAAUGACUGGGCGUAAAGGGCGUGUAGGCGGUUUACACAGUCAGAUGUGAAAUCCCCGGGCUUAACCUGGGAGCUGCAUUUGAUACGUGUAGACUAGAGUGUGAGAGAGGGUUGUGGAAUUCCCAGUGUAGAGGUGAAAUUCGUAGAUAUUGGGAAGAACACCGGUGGCGAAGGCGGCAACCUGGCUCAUGACUGACGCUGAGGCGCGAAAGCGUGGGGAGCAAACAGGUUAGAUACCCUGGUAGUCCACGCUGUAAACGAUGUGUGCUAGAUGUUGGGUAACUUUGUUAUUCAGUGUCGCAGUUAACGCGUUAAGCACACCGCCUGGGGAUACGGCCGCAAG
rnacentral:rRNA from 1 species